GCGCCCUUAGCUCAGUUGGAUUAGAGCGUCUGGUUUCGGCCCAGAAGGCCGCAGGUUCGAGUCCUGCAGGGCGCACCA
rnacentral:tRNA from 1 species